CUGUUUGCAAAGGGCCACCUCGGAAACCUCGGGCUUUUCCCCGAGGCUCGUGCCCGCAGUCUACUCAGUAAGAGGAAAGUUUUCUAGGUAUCAAACCUGUGAAAAUUCUCUCAGAGUCAUCAGUCUUCAAUAAACACUCAUGGGAACUAAGAUUUCACAAUUCUUACCAAGAUCUCACUCAUGACGGAUGACAGAGAUGUUGCUAGGCACACGAGGAAAGCCAAAUGUAGAGCUUUGCAUGGAGUAGUCAGCCUCCACAUCAGGGAUUCUUAUGGGAUCUGAUAUGCAACCAAGAACUAACCUGUUCUCCUCAGAGAAAAGCAGUCAGAUGUGUGGAUGAGGUGACUGUGGCAGGAGCUGAAAUCUCAGAGAGACACAACUAGAAAACAGAGCACAAAGUGAUGGCCUCAGCACCCCGGUGUCCUGCAACAAAAAGAAGACACAGAGUUACCAACAGCCCUCAAAUGCAGUGCAGGCCCUCUUCAGGAUCUACAGAAGGACAUCUACUUGGGGAAGUGACUGAAAUCAGGCCAGUCUGACUACAGGUGGAGAAAAAAGUACGAAUAUCAAGACAUGGGAACC
rnacentral:lncRNA from 1 species